UGGCUCUCGCAUCGAUGAAGAACGCAGCGAAAUGCGAUAAGUAAUGUGAAUUGCAGAAUUCAGUGAAUCAUCGAAUCUUUGAACGCACCUUGCACCCUUUGGCACUCCAAAGGGUAUGCCUGUUUGAGUAUCAUGAAAUUCUCAACUCCCUUGGAUUUUUCUGUCCAUAGGUGAGCUUGGACUUGGAGGUUUUUGCUGGCAUAUGGGCUUUUGUCAAGCCCGCUUGUCCGCUCCUCUCAAAAGUAUUAGCUGCGAGUUGAUCUCGAUAGCCUGACCGGUGUGAUAAAUCCUUACGCCGAAUCAUGCUGUCUUGAGCGACCCUGUCGGAGACCCUCCAGCUCAUAACCGUCCUUACUUGGACAGUCACCUUGAAUCUUCGAUCUCAAAUCAGGUAGGACUACCCGCUGA
rnacentral:misc_RNA from 1 species